GAGACAGUCAAAGGUGGCAUAUCAAAGUAUUUUGUACGAACAAUCUGAAAGACAGGUACAUGGGGUGAGUGCAAAUGUGUGCUGGAGAAGAACAGCUCAUCUAGGUACCAAGAGAAGGGGUUAGUGCAAAACUGCAAAUACCUCCAAAUUCCUGCCCUGCAUAAUCAACUUCACUGAAGAGAGUGGACCAUCCCAAGACAUUCGGACAGAGAGUGAAGCAUUAUUGCCAGGAUGGCUUUUUCUGGGUGAGAGGGAAAUGGGUUUAA